rnacentral:rRNA from 1 species
UGAGACAGGUGCUGCAUGGCUGUCGUCAGCUCGUGUUGUGAAAUGUUGGGUUAAGUCCCGCAACGAGCGCAACCCUUAUCCUUUGUUGCCAGCGGUCCGGCCGGGAACUCAAAGGAGACUGCCAGUGAUAAACUGGAGGAAGGUGGGGAUGACGUCAAGUCAUCAUGGCCCUUACGACCAGGGCUACACACGUGCUACAAUGGCAUAUACAAAGAGAAGCGACCUCGCGAGAGCAAGCGGACCUCAUAAAGUAUGUCGUAGUCCGGAUCGGAGUCUGCAACUCGACUCCGUGAAGUCGGAAUCGCUAGUAAUCGUGGAUCAGAAUGCCACGGUGAAUACGUUCCCGGGCCUUGUACACACCGCCCGUCACACCAUGGGAGUGGGUUGCAAAAGAAGUAGGUAGCUUAACCUUCGGGAGGGCGCUUACCACUUUGUGAUUCAUGACUGGGGUGAAGUCGUAACAAGGUAACCGUAGGGGAACCUGCGGUUGGAUCACCUCCUUA